CCUACGGGUGGCAGCAGUGAGGAAUAUUGCUCAAUGGACGCAAGUCUGAACCAGCCAUGCCGCGUGCAGGAAGACGGCUCUAUGAGUUGUAAACUGCUUUUGUACGAGGGUAAACGCAGAUACGCGUAUCUGUCUAAAAGUAUCGGACGAAUAAUGAUCGGCUAACUCCGGGCCAGCAGCCGCGGUAAUACGGAGGCUUCAAGCGUUAUCCGGAUUUAUUGGGUUUAAAGGGUGCGUAGGCGGUCGGAUAAGUUAGAGGUGAAAUCCCGGGGCUCAACUUCGGAAUUGCCUAUGAUACUGUUCGGCUAGAGAGUAGGUGCGGUAGUCGGAAUGUAUGGUGUAGCGGUGAAAUGCUUAGAGAUCAUACAGAACACCGAUUGCGAAGGCAGCUUACCAAGCUAUUUCUGACGUUGAGGCACGAAAGCGUGGGGAGCAAACAGGAUUAGAUACCCUGGUAGUC
rnacentral:rRNA from 1 species